CACCACUCAAGCAUUGCUUGGUAUUGGGCACCCGUCCGCCGCAAGGCGGGCGUGCCUCGAAGACCUCGGCGUGGCCUAACCGGCUUCGGGCGUAGUAGAGUUAAAUCGAACGUCUUAUAAGUCUGGAUAGGUUCCACUUUGCCGUAAAACCUUUUUAUUUUCUA
rnacentral:misc_RNA from 1 species